rnacentral:misc_RNA from 1 species
AAGUCGUAACAAGGUUUCCGUAGGUGAACCUGCGGAAGGAUCAUUAUCGUACAAUAGAGGUGCUGGGGUUGUCGCUGACUUUUGAAAGGGUCGUGCACACCUCGGUGCUCUCGCACACAAUCCAUCUCACCCCCUUUGUGCAUCACCGCGUGGGGACCCCUUUUGGCUAGUUCCGAGGGGGGUUUUCACGUUUUUACAAAGACACCCUUUUAAUGCAAUGUGUAGAAUGUCUUACUUUUUGCGAUCACACGCAAUCAAUACAACUUUCAACAACGGAUCUCUUGGCUCUC